rnacentral:lncRNA from 1 species
CAGAGAAGUAGCUUUUAUAAACGGGAACUCUUCCAUAUGGAAGAAGUUCCAUUUUUGUUUCUUUUUUUCUUUCAUUCGUUGCCUUGUUUUAGCUCUUAGGAAUAGAUCAACUUAUAAAAUUUGCAAAUAGAAAGAGGGGACCUCUUGGCCUUGUCGCUCUUGGCCAAGCGGAAGGAGCCGGAGGCCCCGACCCCUUUGGUCUGCUUGAGGACGCCGGCAGCCAGGAGACGUCGGAUGGAGAGCUUGAUCUGCAGAUCGGCGUUGUGGCCCACCUUGUAGUGGCUCUUGAUGUACUUCUGGAUGGACUGCCGCGAGGAGCCGCCGCGGCUCUUUUCCGCACGGAUGGCCGCCGCGAUCAUCUCCGAGUAGGUGGGGUGCGAUGCCGAGCGCCGCGAUGCCUUCACCCGCUUGGGCUUGGCUGGGGCUGGGGAUAGGACCAGGCUCUCCGUCAUGGCCGCCGCUUCACCCCACGGCAGGGCACUGGGUUAGGGAGCUUAAAAAAGGAGCCGCCAGCAACAACGGAUGUGGGGCUGCUCCUGCUGCUGCCGCCGCCGCCGCCGCUGCGUCUGCGGCCGCGCGUGCCACCAGCACGCAUUUAAGGGUGCGGCACGGACCGCGGGGAGGACUGCCUGUCCCCGUGUCCCCCCUCUGCCCCGCCCCGCAGGGACAUGCCUGGGGCAGGCAGGGAGGGACGAGGUUGGGACCAGAAGGGAUGUGAUGGG